GGCUGUCUAUGUGCGGAGGCCUCAUGGGACACUCCCAUAUGAUGUGUUUUAGUGCGAGUGUGUUUUCACAGCGUUCCUAAACU
rnacentral:lncRNA from 1 species